GUAACUCUUUUCCAACUUCUUGCGGAUGGGUUAUAUUCCAAAACAAAAUUGAAACCUUCUCUGUACACAGUGAAGCGCUUGAUCUAUUAUUACAACCCAAUUUUCUCCUUUAAUCUCUUCUCUAACAUUAUCUCUUCAUACUUUUCUCCAAUUUCCCCUAAAUCUCAAACCCUAAUAUUUUCUUCACUCACGGAAUCAAAAUCAAUCAUUUUGUUCUUAAAUUCACCACAAAAAUCCAUCACUCAUCAAUGUCGCAGCUAAUUUUUUAUAUUUUAAAAAGCAAAAUUCAGAAAACCCUAAUAUUUUCUUUUGAAAUACAAAAGCAACAGAGAAAAGAAUCUGAGAGACUAUUGUACGAAGAAUGUGGGAAUUGGUCCAAUUGGACAAACGAAUUCAAAUUUUUUCUGUCGGUAUUCUUUUAACAAAAUUGUAUGUGGUUGGUGCUGGAGCACAGGAAAAGGCAGUGCCAAGCAAAAGGGAAGAAAGAGAAUUAUUACAACGGUUUUUUUUUCUUUGUUACGUGGUGCGCUGUGAAUAUUGCCAAGUCAUUUGAGUACCUGGAUAAUUGGCAAGAGGAGUCUCUAAUUCAGUUAGCUGUUCAGAAGAUACCUGAUCAUCUGUCCCCAAACAGGGGUAAAUUUUGGAUAUGAGUUCUUUCACAUCUUUGCAUCUAUGCACCGAAGGAGGGAGUUGAAUCUUUUCUUCUAGAUUUGUCCCAACUAUCACAUAAGUAAAUUAUCCAUUUUAAUGUCUAAGGUUCUUGAAGAUCAAGACGCAUAUUCUUCGUAAGUGUCAGAACGGUUAUAUUAUUCCAGACCACAGAUUUUCUGAGGCACGCGCCUACGACGUCUGCACGGCCGCCAUUCGGUAUAACUGGCAGGGUUUGCCUGAAAUCUCCCCCCAUAAAAACCGUAAUACCUCCAAAAGUUCUACCCCCUACCAAAAGCAAUGAAGUAAUACCCGAUGAUGCAACGGUGAGCACUACAUCUGCCUUGAAUCGACAACUUGCAGCUAUUGUGUUGUAUAGAAAUGUUUUCCCUGUCCCUGCGCUGCCGUUUAGAAAAAAGGAAAAUGUUUUAGCUUCUUGCCGGAUACGCGCAGUAGUUUGUCCAACAGGUAUAAUCCAUAAUCCAAUGUCUGUUCGUCUGUUGGAUUCUGAAUGUUGAACAUUGUUCUCAGUCUAUGAGGAAGAUCAUCGCAUAUUUUCAAACCAAACUUUGCCCACAAAAUUUCUGGUUCAGUUGGGUUACAAUCUGUUAAAAUUAUUUUGAAUAGUUUUCUGAGCUGGCUACCUGUUUGGAUAUCUACGGCUUCUUUAAGACACUCCAUGGAUUCUCCGUCAUUUUCUAGUAGUCCAAGUGCAAUGCAUGCUCUUUUGAAUGUAGGUAGCAAAUCACCGUCCACUAUCUUUAGACGUUCAAAUGAAUUUGCACCUGCAACAACAGUCAAAAGUAAUUUUAGGUAGUAUAGUUCUCCAACAUUAGGAGAAACAAAAUACAUUCUAGCGAUUGCAAAACCCUGUUUCCUAAUGUGCCACUUUCUUGUAGUUUUAUCCCAAACAAAGUGUUGUGGAAACUCUUGGUACGUAUAUUGAGGUGCUGUAAGGUUUUCAGCAUAAUACUCAAAAUAAGCCAUCAAUGUCGUCUUAUAGUUCUCAGCUUUCUCCGUAACCCCUUCUAUUGACCCUGUUGAUUCAUAAAUAAUUCUUUGCUUGCCUGGCAAAUGGAUCGCCAAUCUCACUACGCUCGGUUCUUCUUGAUGGAUGGAAUAACCGAAUAAACGGUGUGCAGCUUCAGGUGGUCCAAUAUACCUUGCAUCUAUAUACAUUUGAACCUCAUCUAUUGAUCCAACAAUAACUGUUGUUUUAUCAUAUCCUUUAUAGAUGUAUUUGUUUAUGUAUUUCACUUCCCUUACUCCAGCACAUAUCUCGACGUUUAUAUGACAGUUAAACAUUCUUGAUAAGUGUAGAUUGUAGGGUACAACAUCAGUAUUGUAUGCUUUACGUCCGCCACGAACAAUAACUUCUCUUCCAUCAUUACUACGUCGAUAUACUGGAUACCCACCACCGUCUAAACAUGUAGCAUCGUUGUAUUUUUUUGGGUAUCCUUUUUUCAUACAGGGGGCCUCUGGAUUCCUAUCACCGCAUGGACCGUGCACCAUACACUUUCUUAUUGUAUUAAAGAGGAGUGGAUCUUUCUUCUCAUCUGGAAAUUCUGCCGAAACAAAUUUGUUCACUUGCUCAACUGUACGUAUUUUGUCUGAUUUCUCCAAGAAUAUUAGUAAAUGCAUAUGCGGUAAUCCACGUUUCUGAAAUUCAAUGGUGUGCACAUGACCAACAACUUUGCCAAACACAUUAUUUUUGGUUAUCUCAUUCAUAAGAGUUUUCCUUUUUAACUCAAAAACUCGUGCCACUAAAUUAGGACGAUGGCAUGCAUAUUGGUGUUGUAGAAGCUCGCCUUGGAUUUCUGGCCAAUUCGGAUUGGCAGUCAUAGUGAGAAAAAUAUCAGGAUGAUGGUUAAAGCGUGUAAUUUCCAUGAAUCUUGGUAGAUGAUAAGUGUUGUAAACGCCUUAAUAUUUAUCUAUUGUUUAUGCUUUCUUGGCGAGUUUUCGUGUGAAUUAUGUAUCUUAUGUUUACUUUUGAGUAUUUAGGUACUUUGGAGUCAUUUAGAGCAAAAGAAAGAGAAAUUGUCCAUUUGGAACAAUAAAGGUCUAUUCACGGACGAGUGAUACUUGGAGCAAGCUAAGAUUAUGCACCAAAGGAGAUGAAGAAUUAGAUGUCAGUUCCGCGCAACUGACAGUUGAGCAAGGAAGCCAUUAGGCAGUCGGUUCCCUGAAACUGACAGGCCAAAUGAAUUCUGUGCAGCCCUUAUCUGAGUUACUGGGUGCCUAUAGCCGUGCCAGUUUCAGUACAUAACCCUUAAUCGGGAUUUGUUCUUUUCAUUACAUCUAUCUGAAAUUUAGAGAGGACAGACCUGCACCUGAAAUUGAGAAAGAAAGAGAAAUGAUCAAAGCUGUGAGAGGAGAGAUGGCUGUUGUAACGACGAGAGAAAUUGGGUUCAGUUCAUCACCAAUGAGACAUGGAAGAUGUUACAGAGACGGAGAAUUUACUGUGAACAAGAGAGAAAGGGGAUCUCAUGUGUUGAAUCUGGGAGUGGUUUUGAUACUGAGAAGAACGAGAAAAUUUAGAUGGGGUUUCGAUCGAAUCUGCUGGUGGUUACAAUGGAUUUGGAGUGAAUUAGAUGUAUGUGUAGGUUGGCUGUGAGAUAGAAGACGAGCAGAUUGAGGGAUUGAGGUUGUUGCUGUUCAAGAUGAGCUUGAAGUUAGGGUUCCAGUGAAGAACAACUCUAAGAAGAAAUUGAAGUUAGAAAUUGAAAACUAGGGCUUCUGCUGAAAUGGGUUGAUUCUGAUCUUGAAGCCGAGAUAAUGAAGAAAAUGGUGAUUUGUUACUGUUGUUUGAGUGCUGCUUCAAAGGUGGAGAUGGAUUUGAGUCACUGGUGGAUGAAUUUGGUGGAAAGAUGGUUGCAAUGGCAGUGUGUUGAUGUUGCCAAUGAUGGCCAGUGAGCAGCUACAGGUGGUGCUGAGAUGAUAUAGCAAUGAAUUGGCAGUUGAAGCUGCAGAGAUAGCGGAGGCAUUGGUGGUGCAGUUCAAAAGCCGAGAUGGGUUCUUGAUGAUGUUGAUUCAUGGGUUCAGCUAGUUACAGUUACAGGUUUUCCUGAGAUGGUAUUGUACUUGGUAGAAAUGAAUGGAGUCUGGUUAUGGCAGUAAGAAACAUUGCAGAGAGUACUCGCAUCUGCAGUUUUUGGUGGCAGUAGUGCAGAGAAGGAUACGGCACCGUGGUGUUGGUUGGAGUUAGAGUUGCUGCUGAAUUGGAGUGCAGUCACGGCUGAGAGCUAAAGAGGAAUGACAGAGAUUGCAGUCAAGCGGAACUGGUGGUGCUGUUUAGAAUGGGUUGUGGUGUUACAGGUGCAACUCUGGUGCACUCAGCAGAGAAGAAGUUGAUUAUGAUUCUGAGCUAAUGAAGGUGAUAUGAAGUUGAAGCAAUACUAGCUUGUGCAGGUGCAGAGCUGCGAAGGGAGAAGUUGGAUUACAGGCUUGAGGUUAUGUCUGUUAAUGCUGGGUUGAACUGGAAUUGCGAGUUAAGAUGUUGGUGCAGCUGCAGUUGGUUGCGUUGAGGAGUUUAGGGCAUGACUUAGAAUUGGUAGGUGCAGCUGUGCAGUGGUGGAAUUGAAGCUCAAAUAGUUGAGAUUGGUGUGGACUGGAUGCUUAGAAGAACUGUGGUGGUUACAAGGGUCUGCGGUGUUGGUGGAACUGUUGAAGAUACUACAGAAGUGGCGAUGCAAUGAAGCCGAGAUGGAGGGAAUUAUUGAGUCUGUGAGUUGAGGAAUCUACGGCAGUUGAAGCCGCAGCUAAUACAAGAGCUGAAAUUGCAAGUGACGAAGCUGAGGAUGUAAAUUGAUGUGGUUCUGUUGCUGGCGAGUUUUUGAGACGGGAAGAAAAGGGAUAUGGCUCGAGUUGCAGGUGAUUGCAGGUGGAAAUAGCAGCUGCAGCUGAGUGCCUGAGAAUUAAGCAAGAAACCUGAGAAGAGAGAGUGCAGAAUGGGUAAAUGGAUUGCAGGCAGCUGAGAUUGCAGGUACAAAAGCUGGUCGUGCUUGUGUGGUCGAACUGUAAUGCUUACAGUAUGUGACAGAGCAGUUGUGAAAUGAGUGAAUGUCUUGGGCUUGAAUGGCAGUGAGUCUGAUAGAAUGGGUUGUGUAUGAAUGGAACAGCAGCUGCAAUGCAACUGGUGCAGGUAGAGUUAUGUUGCAGUUGAAGCUGCAGGGUGAAUUGGAGGUGGUGGAUUGUGCGAGAUUGCAGCAGGGAAUGGAGUUACUGGUGAAGCUGCGAGAUAAGCAAGACAAGACAGAACCAAUGCUACUGAGGUUUGAAGCUAAUGUGUAUGAGUAGAUGAAUGCUAGGAUUGAUACAGACGCAGGGACUGAAAGAAUGGCCAGGAAUUUGGUCGGUAAUCGCACAGAAACAGAGGAAACUAUGUCUGAAUCGGUGUUUAGGCGAGUCAAAUCAGUGAGUUAGUCACCGAUCCAGUACUUAAUUAGAUGGACUUGGACCUGACUGAUGGGCUUUCAGAGAUUCAGUUUUGACCGUGACCUAAACUUACUUGGUCACAGAAGGAAGGAUAUAAAAGAAAACCUUUCUCUAUUCAACUUGGAUCUUCUCUUCUACUUUGGGUUACAACAUGAUAGGUUUUAUCUUCCUCCUUGUUAUGAACUCCAUGAAUAUGAGUACCUAGUUUUUAUUAUUGGUCAAGGAAUAAGUUGGAGUUCCAACCAUGAUAUUUAUGUAAUGAAUUAGUUUU